UUUGAAGACAUUUUCCAAACAUCAAUAAAAAAAAUGUUCAUGGGAAUUUCAAAAUCAGAAUCACAUUCCCAAACUAUUUAAUAAAUCCAAUCAUGCAACCAAAAAUUAUAAUCCUUUUGUAGACAAGGUCAAAAGCUUAUCCUUCACAUAAACAAAUGACUACAAACUUGCUUGCAAUACAUAACAAAGUAAGCAGCCAUAAGUUACAUUAAAACACAAGCAUUUGCUCAAAACAACAAAGCACCUGGAAAUAGAGAUUUGAAUCUCGAGUAUUAUGGAGAUUAAUGUUGAUGAAGAAGCUGGGAUCAUCAAAGAAGAAACAGUUCCACUCCUGGAUGAUCAAAAUCGAAAUCGGGACUUACCUGACAUAGAAAGGAACACUAUGAUGCAAAAGGCAAUAGGUAAGACUUUUCAGACAACAGCUAAUCUAGCUAAUCUUUUACCUACGGGGACAGUUCUUGCAUUCCAGAUUUUAUCGCCAAUUUGCACAAACGUUGGACGCUGCGAUCUAACUAGCAGAUUCAUGACUGCGUUGCUAGUUUCCAU
rnacentral:lncRNA from 1 species